CUGGAGGAAGACAGGAAGCUGAGGACCAUCCUAUGACUGCCAGGAAAAGCUAAGUGGUCAUGAAUGUAAAGAAGAACCCAGUGACCUGGAAUUUGAUGAGCGGACAAGAAAAAAAACUGUAUCAAUGUGAAUGAAAUGGCUGAUGUUGGCCUGGUCAAGGAGGUUCCUGCCUACAUUCUGGAGAGAGGUUUCCAGUUUAUAUGGUGGAUUACAUUUGAUUUAAGUAUGUUGAACCAUCCCUGCAUCUCUGAGAGGAAGCCUACUUGAUCAUGGUCCUUUAUGUUAACUCGAGAGCCAACAUUUCCCCCAAUGAAGUUGUAUCUAGCCCUGCCUGGUGCUGCCAGCUGAGCCUCAGCCAUGUGGGCAGCAUAUGCACAGUCAUGGUCAGCUCACAGACCACCAUAGAACUAAAAGGGAGAUGGCGACACAACCGCAUUCAAGACUCGGGGGCAGAGGACCAACCUCGUCUAUGUCUGAGGCCUUUGCCCAGAGCUACACUUCCUUCAGGCUGGUUGCCAGGACUCAACCCUGAUUGGAGGCAGAGGAGACACACUCCCGUCUCAGUUUCAAGUCUUCAUGUUUGGGUUGCAAAUGGGAAUUGAUAGUUCCAGCCUCCAGAUAGAUAAUGGAGAUCCACUACCUCCAGACAUCUGCCGCAUAUGUCUAUGACCCACGGGCUCGCUCUGAAAAGGACUGCUUCUGCUUCCCAGCCCUGGAAAUUUGAGCAUCUAGCUGCCACCAAGACUUCAAGCCUGUUUCAUUUAAACCUGUGUGCUGAUCUGUAUAAAGUGGUUUUAUCCCAUUGCCCCCAAGCUACUCAUAAAUCACA
rnacentral:lncRNA from 1 species